AACCACUUUACAAGUGGGACUAAGCCAUGCGAGUUACGUAGCAAUACGUGGCAUACGGCUCAGUAACACGUAGUCAACAUGCCCAGAGGACGUGGAUAACCUCGGGAAACUGAGGAUAAACCGCGAUAAGUCAUGAUUCCUGGAAUGGUUCAUGGCUGAAAUCUAUGUGGCCUUUGGAUUGGACUGCGGCCGAUCAGGCUGUUGGUGAGGUAAUGGCCCACCAAACCUGUUACCGGUACGGGCUCUGAGAGGAGGAGCCCGGAGAUGGGCACUGAGACAAGGGCCCAGGCCCUAUGGGGCGCAGCAGGCGCGAAACCUCUGCAAUAGGCGAAAGCUUGACAGGGUUACUCUGAGUGAUUUCCGUUAAGGAGAUCUUUUGACACCUCUAAAAAUGGUGUAGAAUAAGGGGUGGGCAAGUCUGGUGUCAGCCGCCGCGGUAAUACCAGCACCCCGAGUGGUCGGGACGAUUAUUGGGCCUAAAGCAUCCGUAGCCGGUCCUACAAGUCUUCCGGUAAAUCACCUGCUCAACAGAUGGGCUUGCGGAAGAUACUAUAGGGCUAGGAGGCGGGAGAGGCAAUCGGUACUCAGUUGGGUUAGGGGGUAAAAUCUCUGAUCCAUUUGAA
rnacentral:rRNA from 1 species